CAAUCAUCUCCUUAGUCUUGGUUACGUUGAGGGAUAGGUUGUUAUUCUGGCACCACCUGGCCAGGGAUCUGACCUCCUCCCUAUAGGCUGUCUCGUCAUUGUCGGUGAUCAGGCCUACCACAUUCACAUAUCUCCAGACGUAAACUCUAGUAUUUCAAUAACUCUUGCCUUCCAACUUGUUAGGCAAUCACAUGUACCUACAGGGGAAGGAUGACCAGCCAUGCAGGAGGGUGAUUUUCACAAAGGAGGAGAAGGAGGCCGUAAUGACCGAGAUGCAUGCUGACCAUUUCGGAGUGCAGUGCAUGAUUGCCAAAAUCAACCUACGCUUCUUCUGGUGUGGAAUUGUCAAGGAUGUGGACAGUUGGGCAAGUGAAAUAACCUUUUGUUUAUCGAUCACAUUCUAUUAUAUGUGAAAUUAUUAUUUCUAUGAAUGCCACAUCAGAGAGCACACAAUGUUUCAAUUUGUCACUUUGAGCUUAAAGGUCAGUACCUGUCUAGCCUGCCAGAAGUUUGAAAGGGUGAAGACUGUGGUGACGGAGUUGAAGCCCAUCAAAGUUAUUUCACCAUGGCACAUGAUCGUCUAGCUCAGUCAUCGGCCCACCCCCCAGGGACACAUACAGGACCAGGCGUCAUUUGACAAGCCUGUUCUAUGGGCACUAUAAAACACCCCCUGAUUUACAUUUCCCCAGACCAGGCCUUCACUCCAUGGCCAAUAGGUUUUACCAUCCAAUUCCUCUACUGAAAGUGAACCAUACCACGUGGUUAACUUUUAGACUAUCGAGACCGACAGAAUAAGAACAAGUCUUUGAUAUUAAUUAUUAGUCUGCAGCUAUGUAAAUUAUAUCAUCGAACGCGAAGACCAACGAAACAUCCAUUCUAACCGAGAGAGAGAGAGAGAGAAUGCGGAGGAAACUCCCCAACAGAAUCGAAGUCUCCAGCAAGAAUCAGAACGACACACUGAGCGUAAAUAUAUAUUGAUUGCAAUUGUUCCCGAAUGAGUGAGCCUUCAAUUGUCAAUUG
rnacentral:lncRNA from 1 species